AAAAGGGUUUUUUUAAAAACCACAAUAAAAAAGUUUGUCAAAUGUUU
rfam:Operophtera brumata OBRT01_Sc01714, whole genome shotgun sequence.